GAUGAACGCUGGCGGCGUGCCUAAUACAUGCAAGUCGAGCGAACGGACGUGAAGCUUGCUUCUCUGAUGUUAGCGGCGGACGGGUGAGUAACACGUGGAUAACCUACCUAUAAGACUGGGAUAACUUCGGGAAACCGGAGCUAAUACCGGAUAAUAUUUUGAACCGCAUGGUUCAAAAGUGAAAGACGGUCUUGCUGUCACUUAUAGAUGGAUCCGCGCUGCAUUAGCUAGUUGGUAAGGUAACGGCUUACCAAGGCAACGAUGCAUAGCCGACCUGAGAGGGUGAUCGGCCACACUGGAACUGAGACACGGUCCAGACUCCUACGGGAGGCAGCAGUAGGGAAUCUUCCGCAAUGGGCGAAAGCCUGACGGAGCAACGCCGCGUGAGUGAUGAAGGUCUUCGGAUCGUAAAACUCUGUUAUUAGGGAAGAACAUAUGUGUAAGUAACUGUGCACAUCUUGACGGUACCUAAUCAGAAAGCCACGGCUAACUACGUGCCAGCAGCCGCGGUAAUACGUAGGUGGCAAGCGUUAUCCGGAAUUAUUGGGCGUAAAGCGCGCGUAGGCGGUUUUUUAAGUCUGAUGUGAAAGCCCACGGCUCAACCGUGGAGGGUCAUUGGAAACUGGAAAACUUGAGUGCAGAAGAGGAAAGUGGAAUUCCAUGUGUAGCGGUGAAAUGCGCAGAGAUAUGGAGGAACACCAGUGGCGAAGGCGACUUUCUGGUCUGUAACUGACGCUGAUGUGCGAAAGCGUGGGGAUCAAACAGGAUUAGAUACCCUGGUAGUCCACGCCGUAAACGAUGAGUGCUAAGUGUUAGGGGGUUUCCGCCCCUUAGUGCUGCAGCUAACGCAUUAAGCACUCCGCCUGGGGAGUACGACCGCAAGGUUGAAACUCAAAGGAAUUGACGGGGACCCGCACAAGCGGUGGAGCAUGUGGUUUAAUUCGAAGCAACGCGAAGAACCUUACCAAAUCUUGACAUCCUUUGACAACUCUAGAGAUAGAGCUUUCCCCUUCGGGGGACAAAGUGACAGGUGGUGCAUGGUUGUCGUCAGCUCGUGUCGUGAGAUGUUGGGUUAAGUCCCGCAACGAGCGCAACCCUUAAGCUUAGUUGCCAUCAUUAAGUUGGGCACUCUAAGUUGACUGCCGGUGACAAACCGGAGGAAGGUGGGGAUGACGUCAAAUCAUCAUGCCCCUUAUGAUUUGGGCUACACACGUGCUACAAUGGACAAUACAAAGGGCAGCGAAACCGUGAGGUCAAGCAAAUCCCAUAAAGUUGUUCUCAGUUCGGAUUGUAGUCUGCAACUCGACUACAUGAAGCUGGAAUCGCUAGUAAUCGUAGAUCAGCAUGCUACGGUGAAUACGUUCCCGGGUCU
rnacentral:rRNA from 1 species